AAUGGAUAAAAGAGACAACAGAAAGAAUUCCAGCAGCACGACCCUCACUGAAUACGGAGGAGUUAAAGAAACCUUUGGAAGAUACUCUGAAUUUGAAAGAUGAAUGGACCUUAAAAGCACCUGAACUGCAGAAAAUGAAUAGCAGAGGAACAGUGUUGUGCAAUCUAAUUACUGCUGUUACUUCUCCUGCAAAAUCAAGAGCAGCUGCAAAAUCAGGUGGAGCAAUGUUAAAUGGUGAUGGAGGAGCUCCAGGUACUCAGGAUUUUCUGAAAAAUAAAG